rnacentral:rRNA from 1 species
CGGGAGUAACGCGUGGGUAACCGUGCCUCAUACAGGGGGAUAACAGUUAGAAAUAGACUGCUAAUACCGCAUAAGACGCACAGUGCUGCAUGGCACAGUGUGAAAAACUCCGGUGGUAUGAGAUGGACCCGCGUCUGAUUAGCUAGUUGGUGGGGUAACGGCCUACCAAGGCGACGAUCAGUAGCCGGCCUGAGAGGGUGAACGGCCACAUUGGGACUGAGACACGGCCCAA